ensembl:lncRNA
UGAUGAUAUAUUGUUUGAUAUAUUGAUAAUGAUACAUUAUUUGUGAUUGUGAUUUUUUAUAAGAUCAUUUUUAUGCUUGAUUUCUAAGUUAUAAGAAAGCUGAUUGGUUAGCCCACUAAUCAUGUGCUUGCUCAACCCAGCCUGUUAGAAAAUACGACCGCUCACAAAAGAAAAUGCCUGUAAAAGAAAAAGCAAAUUAAAAAAUUGCUAAAUAACACACACCCAUAUGGUAACUAACCUCGUGCAAAACAAUAACUGAUAUUAAUGCUCUUAGCCAAUGAAAAUCAUCUCUAAAAGCUACUUCUGUCAGGUGAAGGAAAAACGAAUUCCUCAGAACAAACUUGCAGUGAGAAUGGCGGUGGCAGUAAAUUAGAGUCCUUUAAGCCCUAUGUCAGGUGUUACGGAGGCGUACUCCACUCAAACAGACGCUGUCAAUCAUCUGGAAUGGCUUAUUUGUGUUCAUUUCUCAAAACUUUCUAAACUAACAGACAGACUUAUACUGACUUUAAGGUAAGCUGAAGUUUACUGUCAUGUCUAACGAUAAAUAGUGUUUAUAAAGCAGUGCUAAGACACAAGGUAGGUGGGCAGCUUGUGUUAAAGUGUAUACGGCAGCAUGCUCAGUACUCAAAACUAAUUCUGAACGCUGCAAAAGUCAUUAUAAAGAAUGCCACAGCAUGCGCUAACAUAGCUAAUAACUCUCUGCACUCCUCUCCUUCGUCUGUUUCCUCUCCCCUCGGUCAGAAUGUGGAGUUCCUCUGGGAGGACGUGGCUGCUUUGCAGCAGCAUGGCUUUAGUGUGGACCCUACCAAAGGAAGUGUGGAUGCGGGACACAGGCGCACCAUCACUGUCACUUGGACGCCCCCUGCUGGACACACUCCCAGUGAAGUUGUUCAGGUGCGUGUUCCCUUGACUUUGAAAGGAGACGAGACUGAGGUGUAUAGCGUCACUCUCAUGGCCUGCAUAUCCCACAACGCUCACUCUGCAUAGGACCUGAAACCUUUGACGAAUUUUUUUGAAAAACUUUUCAUUCUUCUGUAAAUGCCAUGAUUUUAGACUUCAAGCGUUUAUAUUUAUGAUGUCAAUAUUAAACAUCUCUUUGUUACUUAAUAAUAAUAAUCAAGUAGUUCUAAUUCCUGUGAUUUGUUCAAUUUGUUACUUUCUUUUUACUGUUUAUUGAUAAAAGUGUUGUAAAUGUUCUCUACAAUUUU